rnacentral:rRNA from 1 species
UGGGCGGCGGACGGGUGAGUAACGCGUGGGUAACCUACCUCAUACAGGGGGAUAACAGUUGGAAACGGCUGCUAAUACCGCAUAAGCGCACAGUACCGCAUGGUACCGUGUGAAAAACUCCGGUGGUAUGAGAUGGACCCGCGUCUGAUUAGCUAGUUGGUGGGGUAACGGCCUACCAAGGCGACGAUCAGUAGCCGACCUGAGAGGGUGACCGGCCACAUUGGGACUGAGACACGGCCCAG